UACAUGGUUGUCGGUCAGCUCGUGUCGUGAGAUGUUGGAUUUAAGUCCCCCAAUGAGCGCAACCCUCGUUUUAUGUUGCCAGCACGUAAUCGUGGGAACUCCAUGGGAUACUGCCGGGGUCAACUCGGAGGAAGGUGGGGAUGACGUCAAAUCAUCAUGCCCCUUAUGUCUUGGGGCUUCACGCAUGCUACAAUGGCCGGUACAAUGGGCUGCAAUACCGUGAGGUGGAGCGAAUCCCAAAAAGCCGGUCCCAGUUCGGAUUGAGGUCUGCAACUCGACCUCAUGAAGUCGGAGUCGCUAGUAAUCGCAGAUCAGCAACGCUGCGGUGAAUACGUUCCCGGGUCUUGUACACACCGCCCGUCAAGUCAUGAAAGUCGGUAACACCUGAAGCCGGUGGCCUAACCCCUUGUGGGAGGGAGCUGUCGAAGGUGGGAUCGGUAAUUAGGACUU
rnacentral:rRNA from 1 species